AUUGAACGCUGGCGGCAGGCCUAACACAUGCAAGUCGAACGAGUGGCGGACGGGUGAGUAAUGUCUGGGAAACUGCCUGAUGGAGGGGGAUAACUAUGGGAAACGGUAGCAAAACCCCAUUACCCUCGGAUGUGCCGAGAUGGGCUUAGCUAGUAGGUGGGGUAAAGGUCCACCUAGGCGACGAUCCCUAGCUGGUCUGAGAGGGUGACCGCCCACACUGGAACUGAGACACGGUCCAGAUUCCUACGGGAGGCAGCAGUGGGGAAUAUUGCACAAUGGGCGCAAGCCUGAUGCAGCCAUGCCGCGUGUAUGAAGAAGGCCUUCGGGUUGUAAAGUACUUUCAGCGGGGAGGCGUUACCCGCAGAAGAAGCACCGGCUAACUCCGUGCCAGCAGCCGCGGUAAUAC
rnacentral:rRNA from 1 species